GAAAUGCGAUAAGUAAUGUGAAUUGCAGAAUUCAGUGAAUCAUCGAAUCUUUGAACGCACCUUGCGCUCCUUGGUAUUCCGAGGAGCAUGCCUGUUUGAGUGUCAUGAAAUUCUCAACCUCUCGAGCUUUUCGGAGCUGGUGAGGCUUGGAUUCUGGAAGCUCUGUCGGCUUGUUAUGAGUCGGCUCUUCUUAAAUGCAUUAGCAGGAUCGUCGCUAGAUCAUCAUUGAUAUGAUAAUUAUCAAUAUCAUUGUUGAACUAAGCUUCCUUUACUUGGAAGAUCCUGCUUCUAAUCGUCUGUUGCAAGACAAGUUUUUGAUUAUUUGACCUCAAAUCAGGUAGGACUACCCGCUGAACUUAA
rnacentral:rRNA from 1 species